GAGUUUGAUUCUGGCUCAGGAUGAACGCUGGCGGCAUGCCUAACACAUGCAAGUUGAACGAGAAGUUCUGGAGGGAGUCUUCGGACGAACGAAGGGAUGGAAAGUAGCGAACGGGUGAGUAACGCGUGGGCAACCAACCUUACACAGGGGGAUAACACAGAGAAAUCUGUGCUAAUACCGCAUAAGCGCACAGUAUCACAUGAUACGGUGUGAAAAACUCUGGUGGUGUAAGACGGGCCCGCGUCUGAUUAGCUAGUUGGUGGGGUAAAAGCCUACCAAGGCGACGAUCAGUAGCCGACCUGAGAGGGUGAUCGGCCACAUUGGGACUGAGACACGGCCCAAACUCCUACGGGAGGCAGCAGUGGGGGAUAUUGCACAAUGGAGGAAACUCUGAUGCAGCAAUGCCGCGUGAAGGAAGACGGUUUUCGGAUUGUAAACUUCUAUCAGCAGGGAAGAAAAUGACGUACCUGACUAAGAGCCCCG
rnacentral:rRNA from 1 species